rnacentral:rRNA from 1 species
UGGGGAAUAUUGCACAAUGGGCGAAAGCCUGAUGCAGCGACGCCGCGUGAGGGAUGACGGCCUUCGGGUUGUAAACCUCUUUCAGUAGGGACGAAGCGCAAGUGACGGUACCUGCAGAAGAAGCCCCGGCUAACUACGUGCCAGCAGCCGCGGUAAUACGUAGGGUGCGAGCGUUGUCCGGAAUUACUGGGCGUAAAGAGCUCGUAGGCGGUUUGUCACGUCGUCUGUGAAAUCCUAGGGCUUAACCCUGGACGUGCAGGCGAUACGGGCUGACUUGAGUACUACAGGGGAGACUGGAAUUUCUGGUGUAGCGGUGGAAUGCACAGAUAUCAGGAAGAACACCGAUGGCGAAGGCAGGUCUCUGGGUAGUAACUGACGCUGAGGAGCGAAAGCAUGGGUAGCGAACAGG